rnacentral:rRNA from 1 species
UACGUAGGGGGCAAGCGUUGAUCGGAAUCACUGGGCUUACAGCGCGUGUAGGCGGGGCGGCAGGUCUUCUGUGAAAGCCCCCGGCUCAACCGGGGAACGUGCAGGGGAAACCGGCCGCUCUUGAGGCAGGUAGAGGUGACCGGAACGUGUGGUGGAGCGGUGAAAUGCGUAGAUAUCACACGGAACGCCGGUGGUGAAAACGGGUCACUGGG